GGAGAUUUAGCUCAGUGGUAGAGCGCUUGCCUAGCAAGCGCAAGGCCCUGGAUUCGGUCCCCAGCUCCA
rnacentral:tRNA from 1 species